rnacentral:tRNA from 1 species
UCAAAGAGUAGUUUAAUUAAGAAUGCUGGCUUUGGGAGCCAGUGGUGGGGGUUGAAGUCCCUUCUUUUUGA